UGCGGUUCUCGGGUGACGCACCCUAGAAUUGGGCUCCCUCCUCUCUGGUUCUGGGGUGCGUUACCCGAGAACUGCA
rfam:Myotis lucifugus cont2.14513, whole genome shotgun sequence.